GCCUAGUUAGCUUAGUUGGUAGUGCGUCUGCCUUGUAAGCGCUAAGCCGCGGGUUCAAGUCCCGCCCGGGGCG
rfam:Asian citrus Psyllid, Diaphorina citri - Florida Strain, whole genome shotgun sequence.